UAUGAGAAAUUAUCUUGGUAUUACGUUUGUAUGAGAACUGCGAUGGCAGCCGGACUCUUAACUGACAAGAUUGUACCUCUAUUAAAAAUUAAAAUAUACAAUUACUUUUUGGCAAAAUUGUCGAAUUGUAAUGUUGGUUAAAUACCCUGUAGGUAACUGUAAGCAGUUAAAAGUAGAUUUAUAAUAUUUAUCUGUAUAAUAUGGUGGUAACAAUGCACAAAACGAAAUAACUAGGUACUUAUACAUUCCUUAUGCAACGAAUAAAAUAGUUAAUACUCAGAGAAAUUCAUAUACUUUGUAAAUAUAAUUUAUAUUUAAGCUAUAUUAUUAUAAAACGAUAUAUUAUAUUAUGUAUAAAAUGUAUGGUCUUUGCAUUUUGAAUCGGGUACAAUAAAAUUGUUAGUCCUUUUUAGAGAUUAUUGGUGUGUUAUAUUGUCCAAUAUGUUCUUAGUAAACGCUGGUAGAUUAAGACGAACGAAUUCAAAGACAAAACUAUUUAGAAUUUACAAGACGAAAUAUGUUAGAAAUAAGGCAUUGUUUACAUGUGUUCGAUCUGCAGAACUUUGGCCAGUGCUUAAAGACAUUAGCACCAACAUUUCUUAUUCAAUUUCUUGCAUUUUUUUAGCAGAUCGACUCGAUGUGAUGGGUGCUGUUCUAAUCAUUAUUGUUUUGAUUGAUUUCGACCAAUACGAUAAUAUUUAAAUCGUUGGCCAUUUUUCUUUUAUAAAAAAUUAAAAUCA